CAAAGGCAUAAUUGUGUGAAUGCAAAUGGUGGUAAGAGAGAUGACAGACACACUGGCAGUCCAUUGAUGGCCGAAGAAACAAACAAGAGCACUGGAUUCCUUGAUAUGGAAACGGAUACAAAUCCCAUAGAUCGAUCUAUAGCACAUUUACUGUUUCAUAGGCCCCCAGAUUCAUCUGUGAUGCCUGUCAAUGAUGCUUUGUCUCUAAAAUCUCACGCCAUGGUUCAUGGGUCUGUAACCAGUCCACGUAUGAUAGCCAAGGAACAAAUUUGCCAGGACGAAACUGCCAGUGAU
rnacentral:misc_RNA from 1 species